rnacentral:rRNA from 1 species
AUUGAACGCUGGCGGCAGGCCUAACACAUGCAAGUCGAACGAGUGGCGGACGGGUGAGUAAUGUAUGGGAAACUGCCUGAUGGAGGGGGAUAACUACUGGAAACGGUAGCUAAUACCGCAUACCAUCAGAUGUGCCCAGAUGGGAUUAGCUUGUUGGUGGGGUAACGGCUCACCAGGGCGACGAUCCCUAGCGGGUCUGAGAGGAUGACCAGCCACACUGGAACUGAGACACGUGCCAGACUCCUACGGGGGGCAGCAGUGGGGAAUAUUGCACAAUGGGCGAAAGCCUGAUGCAGCCAUGCCGCGUGUAUGAAGAAGGUCUUCGGGUUGUAAAGCACUUUCAGCGGGGAGGCGUUACCCGCAGAAGAAGCACCGGCUAACUCCGUGCCAGCAGCCGCGGUAAUAC